rnacentral:rRNA from 1 species
CCUACGGGUGGCAGCAGUGGGGAAUAUUGGACAAUGGGGGCAACCCUGAUCCAGCCAUGCCGCGUGUGUGAAGAAGGCCCUCGGGUUGUAAAGCACUUUCAGUGAGGAAGAACGCCUGGUGGUUAAUACCCAUCAGGAAAGACAUCACUCACAGAAGAAGCACCGGCUAACUCCGUGCCAGCAGCCGCGGUAAUACGGAGGGUGCGAGCGUUAAUCGGAAUUACUGGGCGUAAAGCGCGCGUAGGUGGCUUGAUAAGCCGGUUGUGAAAGCCCCGGGCUCAACCUGGGAACGGCAUCCGGAACUGUCAAGCUAGAGUGCAGGAGAGGAAGGUAGAAUUCCCGGUGUAGCGGUGAAAUGCGUAGAGAUCGGGAGGAAUACCAGUGGCGAAGGCGGCCUUCUGGACUGACACUGACACUGAGGUGCGAAAGCGUGGGUAGCAAACAGGAUUAGAUACCCUAGAAGUC